rnacentral:sRNA from 1 species
CUAUGUGUAAGGCACUAUGUUGACCUUGAGGAUACAGGGGGAACAAGAUAAGCAUCAUUGUUGCCCUUAUAGAGCUUCUAGUUUGGUAGGGGAGACAGACAUGUAUAGAAUCUGUUGUACAACUAAUUAUUUAAGUAAAAGUAUGAUAAUUAUUAUAAAGACCUCAAAGGAAAUGUAUCAGGUGCGGUAAGAUAAUUUAACAGGUGGUUUUGCUUAGUUUGAGGGGAAAAACUUUAAGGGCAUGAAGAAUUAGAAAGAGCUAGUGAAAAGAAGGUGUAGCAGCCAAAGAGGUAGGUGAAGAAACAAAUUUGUGGUACGUUAAGAAACCAAGAAGGAGGAAUUUCCAGAGCAUAUUUGUGGUCAUGAAAGUCAAAUGCUGCCAAGAUGGAAAGGAAGAUGGGAGUUGAGACUGGUUUGCUACAUAUGGUGAUGAAAACUGUUCUAGAAAAGUUUCAAGAUUAAUAGGACCAAACACAGCUUACAGGUGGUUAAAAAAUGAGAAGGUGGUGAAAUCCUAAGUACUAUAAUAAGCUCUUACACUCACUUUUUGGUCACUUAACAUGAAGUACUUUGUAAUAUUCUGGCUGUGCUUGCUUUGUCUCCCCAGCUAGAUUGACAGCUUCCUGAAGGUUAUGAUGAUAAACCUAGCCCCUAGCACUGUAUCAACAUGUAGCAUUAGAGUCACCACCUGGAGAUCUAAGACCUUGGCUCUAUCUGGUGCUGGUUCUGCCACACAGAAACCGUGUAACUUGGGCAUGAUCAUCUGUUUCCUCAUCUCUAAAAUGGUGAUAUUCCUAACUUUCCUAUCACUUGGGGUUUUGAAAGGAUCAAAUAGGGCAGUAUAUAGAAAUGGACUUUGUGAAUUAAAAAUUAGUAUUCUAUAGAAGAUAUUGAUAAUAUUCAGUGAAUGACAACAGCUGCUUUACAUCGGAAAUUCUGUGAUAAUCAGUUCUUUGUUUGUUUUAGAUUUGUUCCUUAUAUUGGAAUUGUGACGAUCCUCAUGAAUGACUAUCCUAAAUUUAAGGUAAGAGUCUGUAUUAUUUGUUUUAUUAAAAGUGUAAUCUUUUGGACCAGGCGCGGUGGCUCACGCCUGUAGUCCCAGCACUCUGGGAGGCCAAGGUGAGUGGAUCGCUUGAGCCCAGGAGUUCAAGACCAGCCUGGGCAACAUAGCGAAACCCCGUCUCUAUUUAAAAAAAAAAAAAAAUUAUUAGCCUGGGCGCAGUGGCUCACGCCUGUAAUUCCAGCAGUUUGGGAGGCUGAGGCAGGCAGAUCACUUGAGGUCAGGAGUUCGAGAACAGCCUGGUCAAUAUGGCAAAACCCUGUCUUUACUAAAAAUACAAAAAAAUUAGCCAGGAAUGGUGGUACACACCUGUAAUCCCAGCUACUGGGGAGGCUGAGGCAUGAGAAUUGCUUGAAUAUGAGAAGUGGAGGUUGUUGCUGCACUCCAGCCUGGGUGACAAAGUGAGACUCUGUCUCAAAAAAAAAAAAAAAGAAAAUUAUUUAAAGAAAUGUGAUCUUUUGCUUAGUAUUGGAAACUUUUAAAUGGAUUACAGUUAAAAGAUGAAAGAAUAAUUGGGUAGUUUAGCAAUAUAUUCACAAAGACCAAUUUAUUAAUUAACUCUUAGAACCCCUGAACUUUUCAACGCUUCUCUGACUUGUGGUUCUGUGUUUAUUUUCUAGUAUGCAGUGCUCUUUUUGCUGGGUUUAUUCGUGCUGGUUCAUCGUGAGUAAGAAGCCUGCCUUGCUGUUCCUGGGAAGAUGCCAUACUUUUCGUUACUGGAUGUUUGGAGUAGAUACUGGUCUGUGAUUGGUGGAAUGGAGAACACACGUGUUGGUGCUUCUUGGUAGCACUGGUUUGCAUUAGUUUAUGUUUCCACGCCAGAGUUUGUGUGGGCGGGCGCACGUGCACCACAGAGUGCACUUGAGGGGACUUUCAAUCACAGGAUUUCAUAAUUGUCAUUGUCACACUUUCAAAUUUUUGUACAUCAGUGAAUUUUUUAUAUUAAAAGGUUGAGCCAAAGCCCCCAGUGUUUGUAUUUUGAAGCCAAGCUUCACUUCUAAAGUGCCUACAGAGACUUGUAAAUGAAAAUGCAGCUCUGCACGAGUUUGAAACCGUCAUACCUCCUUCUAAUAGGAAUGGCAUAUACUGAGGUGGUCGUAAGUCUUAACUUUUAAAAUUUUAAAUAAAAGACUUUGCACAUUGAA